GCCGAUGUAGCUCAGGGGUAGAGCACUUCCUUGGUAAGGAAGAGGUCCGGGGUUCAAAUCCCCGCAUAGGCU
rnacentral:tRNA from 1 species